GCCUGGGUGGCUCAGUCAGUUAAGCGUCUGACUUUGGCUCAGGUCACGAUCUCACAGUUUGUGAGUUCGAGCCCCACAUCGGGCU
rnacentral:tRNA from 1 species